AUUGAACGCUGGCGGCAGGCCUAACACAUGCAAGUCGAGCGGAUGAAGGGAGCUUGCUCCUGGAUUCAGCGGCGGACGGGUGAGUAAUGCCUAGGAAUCUGCCUGGUAGUGGGGGAUAACGUCCGGAAACGGGCGCUAAUACCGCAUACGUCCUGAGGGAGAAAGUGGGGGAUCUUCGGACCUCACGCUAUCAGAUGAGCCUAGGUCGGAUUAGCUAGUUGGUGGGGUAAAGGCCUACCAAGGCGACGAUCCGUAACUGGUCUGAGAGGAUGAUCAGUCACACUGGAACUGAGACACGGUCCAGACUCCUACGGGAGGCAGCAGUGGGGAAUAUUGGACAAAGGGCGAAAGCCUGAUCCAGCCAUGCCGCGUGUGUGAAGAAGGUCUUCGGAUUGUAAAGUACUUUAAGUUGGGAGGAAGGGCAGUAAGUUAAUACCUUGCUGUUUUGACGUUACCAACAGAAUAAGCACCGGCUAACUUCGUG
rnacentral:rRNA from 1 species